GAAAUCUCCUAUCUCGGUGCAACUCUCUUUUGAUCUCGCUACAAACAUGUUUUCAUGGCUAAGUUUCUAAUCAAUCUCUCUUUGCUAUAGCUUCCUCUCACUCUCGAUCUCCUUCGAUCACUUUCUUAAUCGAACAACACAAAAACCCUAAACCUCUCUUUCGAUUGCCUGAAACGAUUCCCGACAAAGAACCGUCCUCACUAGCCGCAGAAAUUGAUGGAUAAUCAACCAGAGAAAAUGAAUACUCAUCCUCUCUAUCGUCGCUCAAUGAAACGUUUGCAGUUCAAUGACAACAACAAAAUUCUGUUUCUUUAUUAUUUCUUUCUACUGAGGGAAGAUAUUUCACACACCAAGACAUUCUGUACCAGUAGUGCCAAUCAUCUCUGCGGCCUAGAAUCACCUCAGCACCAUGGGUUCAGCCUAAGAGGCCUUUCCACUCGGGCUUUUCAUUGGUGAGUUGGUUGAGUUCAAACCUGGCCCCAGGUGGAAUCAAAAUACACAAGUAGAAGCAAGAAACAAAUAAUAGAUUAAGCAGACACAAGGUAUCAUCAAUAUUUCAGAGUUAUGCACAGGUUUGGAAAGGUUGGGGCAGCAGCACAUUCUUGGAGCUUUAUGGACACAAUUUGGAGGGAAUGAUAGAAUUUGAAGACUAGGAUUGAAGCAUAUGUUUAAGACUUCACUUAGGUUUUAAUGAGCUUGUAAAUGAUGUUUCUUGUAUCUUGUGAGCAUCUGUAAGACUUGUAUACCAUUGUAACAUUUUUUCAUCUUUCACAACACUUGGCAUUUUAAUAAUCCAAACCAACAUAAUUCUUGUAAAUCUUU